UAGUCCACGCCGUAAACGAUGAAUGCUAGCUGUCGGGGCCUUAGGCUUCGGUGCGGCCGCUAACGGCGAUUAAGCGAUCCCGCCUGGGGAGUACGGUCGCAAGAUUAAAACUCAAAGGAAUUGACGGGGACCCGCACAAGCGGUGGAGCAUGUGGUUUAAUUCGAGGCAACGCGAAGAACCUUACCAGCCCUUGACAUACCUCUCGCGGAUUUCAGAGAUGAUUUCCUUCAGCUUGGCUGGAGAGUGUGCAGGUGCUGCACGGCUGUCGUCAGCUCGUGUCGUGAGAUGUUGGGUUAAGUCCCGCAACGAGCGCAACCCUCGUCCUUAGUUGCUAACAUUUAGUUGAGAACUCUAAGGAAACUGCCGGUGAUAAACCGGAGGAAGGUGGGGAUGACGUCAAGUCUUCAUGGCCCUUAUGGGCUGGGCUACACACGUGCUACAAUGGCGAUGACAAAGGGCAGCGACCUCGCGAGAGGAAGCUAAUCUCUAAAAGUCGUCUCAGUUCGG
rnacentral:rRNA from 1 species